UCCCAGGUGGCUCAAUGGUAAAGAAUCUGUCUGCCAAGCAGGAGAUGCAGGUUGGACCCCUGGGUUGGGAA
rnacentral:tRNA from 1 species